CCUACGGGGGGCAGCAGUGGGGGAUAUUGCACAAUGGGGGGAACCCUGAUGCAGCGACGCCGCGUGGGUGAAGAAGCGCCUCGGCGCGUAAAGCCCUGUCAGCAGGGAAGAAAAUGACGGUACCUGAAGAAGAAGCCCCGGCUAACUACGUUCCAGCCGCCGCGGGAAUACGUAGGGGGCAAGCGUUAUCCGGAUUUACUGGGUGUAAAGGGGGCGAGGAGGGGGAUGCAAGCCAGGCGUGAAGGCCCGGGGCCCAACCCCGGGACUGCCCUUGGAACUGCGUGGCUGGAGUGCAGGAGGGGCAGGCGGAAUUCCUGGUGUAGCGGUGAAAUGCGUAGAUAUCAGGAGGAACACCGGUGGCGAAGGCGGCCUGCUGGACUGCAACUGACGUUGAGGCCCGAAAGCGUGGGGAGCAAACAGGAUUAGAUACCCCUGUAGUC
rnacentral:rRNA from 1 species